rnacentral:rRNA from 1 species
CAGUCGCCGCGGGAAUACGUAGGUGGCAAGCGUUGUCCGGAAUUAUUGGGCGCAAAGGGCUCGCAGGCGGUUUCUUAAGUCUGAUGUGAAAGCCCCCGGCUCAACCGGGGAGGGUCAUUGGAAACUGGGAAACUUGAGUGCAGAAGAGGAGAGUGGAAUUCCACGUGUAGCGGUGAAACGCGUAGAGAUGUGGAGGAACACCAGUGGCGAAGGCGACUCUCUGGUCUGUAACUGACGCUGAGGAGCGAAAGCGUGGGGAGCGAACAGGAUUAGAUACCCCCGUAGUCCCUGUCUCUUAUAC